GAUGAACACUGACAGAAUGCUUAACACAUGCAAGUCUUUGGCGAAUCUGUGCUUGCACAGGCUAGCCAAGGCGGACGGGUGAGUAACGCGUAAAGAACUUGCCCUGCAGACAGGGAUAACAGACGGAAACGACUGAUAACACCUGAUACAGUUGCCGGCACGCAUGUGCCUGGCAAUGAAAAGAGAUGCUGCAGGAGAGCUUUGCGUCCUAUUAGCUUGUUGGUGAGGUGACGGCUCACCAAGGCGAUGAUAGGUAGCCGGCCUGAGAGGGUGAACGGCCACAAGGGGACUGAGAUACGGCCCUUACUCCUACGGGAGGCAGCAGUGGGGAAUAUUGGACAAUGGGGGCAACCCUGAUCCAGCAAUUCUGUGUGCACGAAGAAGGUUUUCGGAUUGUAAAGUGCUUUCAGCAGGGAAGAAGAAAGUGACGGCACCUGCAGAAGAAGCGACGGCUAAAUACGUG
rnacentral:rRNA from 1 species